rnacentral:rRNA from 1 species
UCGGUAGAGCGGCGAACGGCUGAGGAACACGUUGGAACCUGCCCCAGACUCAGGGAUAACCCCGCGAAAGCGGGGCUAAUACCGGAUGGUCUCGCGAGAGUAAAGCUUUUGCGGUCUGGGAGGGGCCUGCGGCCUAUCAGUUAGUUGGUGAGGUAAUAGCUCACCAAGACUAUGACGGGUAACUGGUCUGAGAGGACGACCAGUCAGAAUGGGACUGAGACACGGCCCAUACUCC